GCGCACGCAUACGCACAAAUACACACCUGGGGUGGAGGAUCUUGGAUCUAUGCAGAGAGUUGUCCAAAGGAGAAACCGAAGUCAUUUUUUUAAACCAUCAGAUAAGAUCUCAUUAUCAUGGGAAAGGAAGACCACAGCCAACAACAUAUCACUUCUCCUAUAACAAGAACAAAGAUCACAUCUGAACUCUUACUUGGUCAUGUAUCCAUGGUAAAUGGUGGAAGAUACUGGU